CCCCGCCCCGUCAGGACCCGCGGCAGCUGCCCCCGUCCCCCCGUCCCCGAGGAGCGACGACGAAGGAGCGGGAGCGACUCACUCAUGGGAGCGCGGCGGGCGAGGCCGGCGACACCUCCGGCUUCCGAGGCGCCGGCGAAGUUAAUUGCACUGAAGUUCAAGUUGUCUUUUCACCCAUCAGGAGUGGGCGUUUAAAGGAAGGAGAGCGAGGAGGAGGAGGGGGAGGGGGGAGAGCCUCUCUCGCUCGCUCUCGCACACACACACACACACACACACACACACACACAUACACAGAGAGAGAGAGAGAGAGAGACGCGCACACAGACACACGCACACAGACGCGCACGCCCGCCCGCUCCCGCGCUGCCUCAGCAGGAGGAGCCCGGCCGGAACACACCAGGGCAGCACCAGGUGAGGUAAUGAAACUGUUGAAUCUGCAGACUGAAACCGUCAGAAGCCUUUCCUGAGGUGCCCCUUACUGAAAUGCUACUGUGGCAUAAUGAUUUGGAAAUAAGCUUUUGUGUGAGAAGAGCUAUCGGAUCCUCUGGGAAACAUUACAGAUACUUUCCAGUUCCUUUCAGACAUGUAAAUAUGUUUAGACAUGAGCAGAGGGUAGAGCUGGGGAGUGGAGUAGGGUGGGGUUAGAAGCUUCCUCAUAGAUCCUGGAACCAAAUAAAUACAUGCGUUUUUUUUUCUUCUUAUCUGAUGUUAGCUGGAACUUGAAAUGGUCAAUAUUCAGAAGAAAAACUGCAUAAAUGUGUGUAUAUGUAAGAGUUAUGUUGACCCAUGAUUAAAAGAGAGGGUCCUCUUCUGCUGUUCAUCACAAAUGAUCAACAGAACUCUCCAUAAUGCUCAGAUGCUUGCAUCGAUCCCAAGAAAUACGAACUUUAUGAAGUAUGACUUGUUUCCGUCUCAAAGUGUGCAGCUAUAGCUAUAGCACUGAAAACCAUUGCAUGCUAUCUAGCAUUUCUCAUGAUUUUUUGCUUUCUUCAUGAUUUAAGCUAAGCACAUCAGAAACUGAAGAUAACGUUUUAACCUAUAAGAACAGCAGCCUGACUUCUGUAAUGUGCUCAUGUGCUAUUACCUGUGAAACAGAGCAAGAAGACUGCUCACUAGCAGGGUCUGCCCAUCGCUGUCCAGCUGCCUAAUGACAUGUUAAGACUUGGUUUCAGCAACUGUGCUCCAACCAGUAUUACUAUAAUUGGUUGCAGUUGAAGAUGUCAGUAAAAAAAUACAAUCAGGCUGGAGUGUCCUAUGCAUAUUUUAAAUGCAAAUGGCCGUUAUCAGCUGUAUCAUAACUUUAUCUGAUGUCUGAUCUUAGUGGUGGCUCUGUGGAAAAGACUCAGAUGACUUUUUCUGAACACAGCUGCUCCUUUCAGUGCAUUUCUGCAGUCUUUUGAUUAUCUUACUUACUAUCUGUUGGCUAGACACCAACCUCCUGAACUUAGGCCUGUGUCACCUCACUACCUGUGUCUCUCCUAAAAAAUCUGUUCAUUCAAAAGGAUAUCAUGCCAACAAUAUAACAGAUUCAUCUGUCUUUCUGCAAACUGGCUUGAGUUUCUUCCAGCCACUCACUGGGGGUGCUUGUUUCCAGGCCCUGAUGCUGCACAGUACCUCAAUCCAUUCAGCUUCUCUUCAAGAUGGUAACUACUUUCCGCUCCACAUCUCUGCUGCAGAAGAUCUUGUGAUUACCUGAAAAAGUGAAUUGCAUCCUGUAGAUUUCCCCUUAAAACUUCUGCUUCACAGAAGAGAUCAGCUUGUGACAGAUGCGUCAGCAAUGUCAGACUCACUUCUCUGUUGCCUAAUUGCCCUCUCCACCUUCUGUCAAUCUGAAACUCUCAUUUUGGAAAGGAUUGAAGGAGUUGUAUUAAUAUUUGUGCUAUCCACAUUUUUCCUGCAUAUUGUCUGCUCCUUCCCUUGGUGUCUGGUUUGUCUUGGCUGCUUUUAAAAAUUCUGUUGCCUCUAGUGAGGGACUGCCAGAUUAAACCAGUACAGAGAAUCCAGGUGACUGUCUACUUUUACAAAUAUAGGUUGUGUAUAAUAAAUUCAGGUUUUACAUCUAUGCAAAUUAAGUCAUCAUAUGAUUAUGACUACAUGCAUUUUUUUUAUCAAAUAUGGCAUAUAUUUCACAAAUUAUAUUUAACUUAUACACAUGUUGCUAUUCUGAAUACCUGACUAGGAAUUACAAAGUGUGUCACUAGAUCUUAGUAAGUGGGCUUAUGGAACAAGAAGAAAUAAGAGAAAAUCACCUCUUUUCCUUGCAUUCCUGACAAGUCCAGUGUAAGGGCUUUUCCUACUCUAGAUGGCAAUAUAAACACCUUACCACAGAGCUGUUGAGAGAUAAAAGUACAUCUUGUUGUUGGAAACUUAAAGAAUGUAUGAAAAACAAAACAAAAUACCCUAAAAAAGGAAGUUUUAAAGUAAUGUGUCUUUGGUCUAGUGUUUGUCACAUCUACUUGGUAUGGCCUUCCUCUAAUGUUUCAGUCAUGCAGUGUAAGACAUUAGUCACAAUGUCAAAAUAAGCACAUUACUUCUGCAAAAAUGUAUUUUCACCUCAGGAAUAUUGUGAAGUGAAAAUAGGAUUUAGCACAAUUCUUCCUUUUGAGUUUUUCUACAGACAGGACAGUUUUAGUGUAAAGCUCUAAAUCUUGCAAGAUUAUUCCCAGCAUUAGGUACGACACAUCUGGAAGAAUCUGCCAACUGAGUGCUGGCAAGGAUUACGCUGAGAAGGUAACAACUCAGUGCUUUCACUGUUAACCGUCCUCCACAACUGCUGUUUUUUGGUGUUUUUGUGUGUGUGUGUUCGUUUGUUUCUUUGUUUUCCGAAUAAAUAAACAAAUACUUUGUUGAGCUCAA
ensembl:lncRNA